GUUGUAUGGUUAAGUGACUAAGCGUACACGGUGGAUGCCUUGGCAGUCAGAGGCGAUGAAGGACGUAUUAACUUGCGAUAAGCCCAGAUUAGACAGUAAAAGUCAUUUGAGUCUGGGAUUUCCGAAUGGGGAAACCCACUUACAUAAGUAAGUAUCUUGUUGUGAAUACAUAGCAGCAAGAGGCAAACCGGGGGAACUGAAACAUCUAAGUACCCCGAGGAAGAGAAAUCAACCGAGAUUCCGAAAGUAGCGGCGAGCGAAAUUGGAUUAGCCCUUAAGCUUUUAAUGAGACAGACGAAGGCUCUGGAAAGUGCCGCAAUAAAGGGUGAUAGCCCCGUAGUCGACAUCUCAUCAUCAGUGAAAACGAGUAGGGCGGGACACGUGAUAUCCUGUCUGAAUAUGGGGGGACCAUCCUCCAAGGCUAAAUACUACUGACUGACCGAUAGUGAACCAGUACCGUGAGGGAAAGGCGAAA
rnacentral:rRNA from 1 species